rnacentral:lncRNA from 1 species
AAAGAGCGAAAAAUGGAUUGAGAUAGAAAUAUAGAAAGACAAAGAUAUAUAAAGAGAGACAGAAAUAGAAAGACAAAGAUAUAUAAAGAGAGACAGAAAUAGAAAGACAAAGAUAUAUAAAGAGAGACAGAAAUAGAAAGACAAAGAUCUAUAAAGAGUGACAGAAAUAUAGAAAGACAAAGAUAUAUAAAGAGAGACAGAAAUAGAAAGACAAAGAUCUAUAAAGAGAGACAGAAAUAGAAAGACAAAGCGAAAAGCUUUGCCUGCUCCAUUCUGGGGGUAUCCUCCUUGUCCAAGACCUGUAGCAUAGGUGCAUUCAUUACUCAAGCGAUCAUCUACUUUUAAAUGAAUUUCAAUUACAUCACCUAACAUGCAUUAGAAUGUACUGUGAAGAGGUAACAUGGAACCUGUGCCAGAUUUAGUAAUGUUUCCAAUGAUUUUCUUUAUGCCACAGAAUAGUGAGCCAUCCAUUGAAAGGAGAAAAGAUGUUGGUUAGGUUUCUGUCUGUCAGUGUCAGUUCCAUUACCUGCUCCAUAGCCGUUGUUUCCUGCCCCAGGAUAGCUGCCAGCUCCAGCACCGUAGCCUGUGGAAUAAGUCAACAAAGCUCAGCACAAAACCCUGUGAUUGACUUGAGACUGAGCGACACGAUCCCUAAACUCAUCGCAUUGUGAUUGACCCUGUUACCUGUGGAGGAAAACAUACAGCGAGCACUCAUCACAUAAUACUGCUAUUGGCUCCUAGCCUGCGGAGCACAACAUCCAUGCACAUUACAUAUCACUGUGAUUAGGCUGUAGCCUGUGACACACAACAUCCAUGCACAUUACAUAUCACUGUGAUUAGGCCGUAGCCUGUGACACACAACAUCCAUGCUUACCACAUAACUGUGACCAAACAGAAAGAUAUGUUUACACAAAUCCAAGCCACAGUGAAAAUAAGACAAACCUACAACUCAGGUCAAAUUUCAAGUCAACCAUCCCUAAAGCGAUUCAUCAAAAGCUUUCAGUGUGCUUCUAGAACACGAACAUAGAGCCAACAAGACCGGUGCAUCAUUCAUUAAGGGUAUUAUCAUAUACAGUGCCUUCGGAAAGUAUUUAGACCCCUUGACUUUUUCCACAUUUUGUUACGUUACAGACUUAUUCUAAAAUUGAUUAACUCGUUUUUUCCCCUCCUCAAUCUACACACAAUACCGCCCAAUGACAAAGUAAAAACAUGUUUUUAGACAUUUUUGCUAAUUUAUAAAAAAUAAAAACGUAAAUAUCACAUUUACAUAAGUAUUCAGACCAUUUACUCAGUACUUUGUUAAAGCACCUUUGGCAGCGAUUACAGCCUUGCGUCUUCUUGGCUAUGAUGAUACAAGCUUCAUAACAGGCUAAAACCUGUAUUUGGGGAGUUUCUCCCAUUCUCCCCUGCAGAUCUUCUCCAGCUCUGUCAGGUUGGAUGGGGAGCAUCGCUGCACAGCUAUUUUCAGGUCUCUCCAGAGAUGUUCGAUCGUGUUCAAGUCCGGGCUCUGGCUGGGCCGCUCAAGGACAUUCAGAGACUUGUCCCGAAGCCACUCCUAUGUUGUCUUGGCUGUGUGCUUAGGGUUGUUGUCCUGUUGGAAUGUGAACCUUCGCCCCAGUCUGAGGUCCUGAGAGCUCUGGAGCAGGUUUUCAUCAAGGAUCUCUCUGACUUUGCUCCGUUCAUCUUUGCCUCGAUCCUGACUAGUCUCCCAGUCACUGAUGCUGAAAAACAUCCCCACAGCAUGAUGCUGCCACCACCAUGCUUCACCGUAGGGAUGGUGCCAGGUUUCCUCCAGAUGUGAAGCUUGGCAUUCAGGCCAAAGAGUUCAAUCUUGGUUUCAUCAGACCAGAGAAUCUUGUUUCUCAUGGUCUGAGAGUUCUUUAGGUGCCUAUUGGCAAACUCAAGUGGGCUGUCAUGUGCCUUUUACUGAGGCGUGGCUUCGGUCUGGCCACUCUACUAUAAAGGCCUGAUUGGUGGAGUGCUGCAGAGAUGGUUGUCCUUCCAUAGAGGAACUCUGGAGCUCUGCCCGAGUGAGCAUCAGGUUCUUGGUCACCUCCCUGACCAAGGUCCUUCUCCCCUGAUUGCUCAGUUUGGUAGAGCGGGCAGGUCUAGGAAGAGACAAGGUGGUUUCAAACUUCUUCCAUUUAAGAAUGAUGGAGGCCACUGUGUUCUUGGGGACCUUCAAUGCUGCACACAUUUUUUGGUACCCUUCCCCAGAUCUGUGUCUAAAAACCUGUUCUCGGUUUGUCAUUAUUGGGUAUUGUGUGUAGAUUGAUGAGGAUUUUUUAUUUAUUUAAUCCAUUUUAGAAAAAGGCUGUAAACAAAAUGUGGAAAAAGUCAAGGGGUCUGAAUACUUUCCAAAGGCACUUUAGCCAUUGACACAAAGUGAUUGCUACAAACGACAGUGAUUGGCACAUGCAGGUGGAUAUAACACACAGACAGCUAGAUUGUAUGGGGUUACCAGUUUUGGUUGCUUUAGCACCCUGUCCAUUGGGCUCUCCCACUCCUGGACCAUAUCCUAGAGACCACAACAAAUGUUACUCGAUAGUGCUACCUACACAAUAUUACAGCCACAAAGGAAAAUAGAAAAAAGGGACAGACAGAGGUUUACCAUUGCCUUUGGCUCCCUGAACACUGGGAACUCCAGCACCUGGACCAUAUCCUGGAGACCACUAAACAAGUUAACUCUGUAGCUUAUAAUAAUAGAAACAGCGUCCCUCUGUUAUAGCGCUUGCAACACCAAGGGUUGUGGGUUCGAUUCCCGCUGGGGCCAACCAUUUAUAAAAUGUAUGCAUGCGUGACUGGAAGUCGCUUUGGUUAACAGUGUCUGCUAAAUGGCAUAUAUUAUUAUAUAUUAUGUGUCCGGCUCAAAGGACCAUGAAAAACAACACCACCCAGAGAGUGGUUUAAAAUAAGAAACAUAUCGCCCUGUCUCCUCCUACUGUGUCAUUGUCCUAACAGGGGACCCACUUUAAACAGUACCUCUUCCUGUGUCCAACCCUCACUGGGUGGUGCCCAGACACAGUGACGUUCCAGAGACUGAGAAAGUGGUUUACCAUUGCUUUUACCACCAUUGAGGACUCCAGCUCCUGGACCAUAUCCUCGAGACCACAACACGUGUUACAACCACUGAUUAUUCAAAACCAUUUGCAUUCCCACAACACACUGCUCUUUAUCCUAGUAAUUCAACACAUAGAUUCUUAGCCAUGCACAAAACAAUAUCACAGAGACUAGAUGACUAGCAUUUGGGAGGAUAUCAGCAAAUUUCAUGUCACCAAAAAUAUAGUUUUAAAGAUAGUUCUAAAUAUACAGCUCCACUUCAAUACAGAAAGAGACAGAGACAGAGACAGACUGUGACACAGACAGGGUAUCAGAGGUUUACCAUUGCUUUCAGCACCGCUGGGUUGCUGAACUCCUGGGCCAUAUCCUAGAGACCACACUAGUGAUUACUUUACACUACUUGCUCAACACUGUUUACAAUUGACCAUUGGAAAGCUCUGUUACAUCCUUUCCAGAACAGUUACAGGCAUUCUGUCGGGUUAAAGCGAGACUUACUUCCAAUAUGGUCUUAACUGUAAAGCUGACAAAGACAUAAUUGUUGCAGUGGCAGUGCCAUCCAGCAUGCAGAACAAUGUGCAGAUCACCACUGAUGAAGACUAGUCAGAGAAACAGAAACAACCCAGUAGCAGAAAUCUACCAUUUUUAGCACCAAGCCCAGUAGACACUCCAGCUCCUGGACCAUAUCCUGGAGACCACAACAACUGAUACUGAACACUGGUUACUCAACAAGCCCAGUAGACACUCCAGCUCCUGGACCAUAUCCUGGAGACCACAACAACUGAUACUGAACACUGGUUACUCAACAAGCCCAGUAGACACUCCAGCUCCUGGACCAUAUCCUGGAGACCACAACAACUAUUACUUAACACUGGGUCAAAGCAAGUUAGCGCUGUAGAAUGUAUUAUCAAAAGUUUUGUAGGUUAUGAUAAUGAGUGCCAUCCAGUUAUUUAAACCCAGAGAUUUAAACUGGCAUUACCAUUGCUUUUAGCCCCACCAUUGGGAACUUCAGCUCCUGGACCAUAUCCUGAAGACCACAAAAACUGUUAUUCAACACUGCUUAUAGAAAAUAAAAACCACUUGCAUAAACACAACACAUGAUGUCUUUGACACAGACAGACAAGACACACAAAGACUGACAGAGACAAACAGACAGGGUAUCAGAGGUUUACCAUUGCCUUUGGCUCCCUGAUCACUGGGAACUCCAGCUCCUGGACCAUAUCCUGAAGACCACAAUAACCGUUACUCAACACUUGUUACUCAACACAAGUUAGCUGUGUAGAUCUGAUCAUCAGAGGUUCUGUAGCUUAUCAUAGGAGAGUGUCAGAUGAAUAGAGAUUCAGAGCCUGUAACACUCUGAAAGAGGUUACCAUUGAUUUUACCACCAUUGGGAACUCCAGCUCCUGGACCAUAUCCUGGAACCAACAACAACUGUUACUCAACACUGCUUAUAGACAAUUGAUCAAAACCAGUUGCACAACACAUUCUGCCCUUGAUCCUAGUAUUUCAUCAUAUAGCUUAUAGCCGUGCACAAAUAUCUAGCAAACACCAGCUGGAUGUGUUCAGGAGCUUAUCACCAAUACUCCUCUAAAGAUAGAUUACCAUACAGCAUGCAACACAGACAGGUAGGGUAUCAGAGGUUUACCAUUGCUUUUAGCCCCGUUAGGUGCUCCAGCUCCUGGACCAUAUCCUGGAACCACAACAACUCUUACUCAACACUGUUCUACAAUUGACCAGACCAGCAUCCAUGGAUCGGUCAAAUUCUACAAUAUGCUCAAUGAACUGGCAACAGGCAUGCAACAAUAUGUUACAAACUGUAACAUUAUCACACAGCAUGCAGCAUCUUGCUCGACCUCAACUUUGACAUGGACGAUAAACAUUGAAGACAGACGUAGACACAGACAGGGUAGCACAGGUUUACCAUUGGGUUUAGUACCCUGACCUUUGGGAACUCCAGCUCCUGGACCAUAUCCUGAAGACCACAACAACUGUUACUCAAUACAUGUUACUCAACAUAGGUUUUCUCUGUAGAUUUUAUCAUCAGAGAUUCUGUACCUUUUUAUAAUAAGAGAUGCUAUAGCAUUUCACUGUAAUAACAUGUUUAUUUGGCGUGAUGGAAUGGUCAGAGUACUUAAAUGUCUGGCUCGAAGGACCAGGAAAAAGAGCGUCACCCAGUGAUUGGUGGACUAAGAGAAAGGAGCCAGUUUACCUCUAAAGUGACAGAGAAAUAGAGACUGAUGAAGACUCAGAAAGAGGUUUACCAUUUCUUUUACCACCGUUGGGUGCUCCAACUCCUGGGCCAUAUCCUGGAGACCACAACAGCUGUUACGCAACACUGUCAACACUGACUUAUUGUAAAUAAUCACUUGCAUGAGCACAAAACAUGCUGCCCUGGGACCUUUCCCCUCUGGCCAUGCACAAAUAUAUUCAUCCUUCUCAACGUUCAGGAGUCACAUCACACCAACUUUUGUAGCACAUAUCAUGCAACAUACAGUCAAAGAAGCUCCACUUUGAUACAGAGAGACAGAGUGUGACACAGACAUGUUAUCAGAGGUUUACCAUUGGCUUUGGCGCCCUGAUCAUUUGGAACUCCUGGACCAUAUCCUAAAAGCAACAGCUCUUAUUCAAAACUGUGCUAAAAAUGACCUGACCAUGAAAGCAUAAUAUGCUACAAACGUUGGCAUAACCACACAGCAUGCACCAUUCAGCUCAACCUCAAAUUUGAGAUAGAAAGACACACAUUGAAUAGGGCCGUAGACACAGACAAGGUAGCCAUGGUUUACCAUUGGGUUUAGCACCCUGACCAUUGGGAAUGCCAGCUCCUGGACCAUAUCCUGAAGACCACAACAACUGUUAUUCAAUACAAGUUAGCUUUGUAGCUCUUAUCAAUGACCAUUGAGUUCUGUCUGAAGUCAUGAAAGAUACAGCAAUAGAGAUAGAGACUCUGACAUUUAGUGAUGGUAACAGAGGUUUACCACUUGGUAUAGCACCACUGGGUUAGCACCACUGGGUAUAGCACCACUGGGUUUAGCACCACUGGGUUUAGCACCACUGGGUAUAGCACCACUGGGUUUAGCACCACAGGGUUUAGCACCACUGGGUAUAGCACCACUGGAUAUAGCACCACUGGGUUUAGCACCACUGGGUUUAGCACCACUGGGUAUAGCACCACUGGGUUUAGCACCACAGGGUUUAGCACCACUGGGUAUAGCACCACUGGAUAUAGCACCACUGGAUAUAGCACCACUGGGUUUAGCACCACUGGGUUUAGCACCACUGGGAUUAGCACCACUGGGAUUAGCACCACUGGGUUUAGCACCACUGGGUUUAGCACCACUGGGAUUAGCACCCCUGGGAUUAGCACCGCUGGGUGCUCCAGCUCCUGGACCAUAUCCUGGAACCAACGACAACUCUUACUCAACCCUGUUCUACAACAGACCAAACCAGCAUCAACAUUUAGUGUUAUCACACUGGCCUGGGUACUCUAUCUGUCAAAGGCUUCAAUAUGCUAAUUGUAACAAACAGUUGAGGUUACAGACAUGCAGCAAUGCACCACAAAGACAGAGACAAACAGACAGGGUAUCAGAGGUUUACCAUUGCCUUUGGCUCCCUGAUCACUGGGAACUCCAGCUCCUGGACCAUAUCCUGGAGACCACAACAACUAUUAUUGAACACUUGUUACUCAAUUCAUCUUGGCUCUGUACUUAUUAUAAACAGAAGUGAUGUAUCUUAUCAUAAGAGAGCAACAAAGAAAGAGAGAUGGAGAUAGACCUGUGACACUCAGAAAGAGGUUUACCAUUGCUUUUAGCACCGUUGGUAGCUCCAGCUCCUGGACCAUAUCCUGGAAUCAACAACAGUUGUUACAACAACAAAACAUAAAUCAAAAUCAUUUGCAAACACAAUGCAUGCUGCCCUUGACACAGACAGACAAGAUGCACAAAGACUGACAGAGAGACACUGACAGGGUAUCAGAGGUUUACCAUUGCCUUUGGCUCCCUGAUCACUGGGAACUCCAGCACCUGGACCAUAUCCUGGAGACCACAACAACUGUUACUUAUCGCUACAUUCUCAAAUCUAUUAAAAUGGUCUUGACACAAAAAUUGACAAAGACCUACUCAUAUUGGUAUCACCAAACAUGCAAUACAGUGAGAGUGUGCAGAUCACCUCUGACACAGGGAAAUAAACACAGAAACAGAAACAACUCCAGGGUAGCAAAAGCUUAACAUUUUUAGCACCAGAUACAGUAGGAACUCCAGCUCCUGGACCAUAUCCUGGAGACAACAACAACUGAUACUGAACACUGCUUAUAGACAAUUGAUCAAUACCACCUGCACAGCACAUUCUGCCCUUGAUCCUAGUAUUUCAUCACAUAGCUUAUAGCCAUGCACAAAUAUCUAGCAAACACCGACCUUAAGGCGCUACAGAGGGUAGUGCAUACAGCCCAGUACAUCACUGGGGCUGAGCUCCCUGCCAUCCAGGACCUCUAUACCAGGCGGUGUCAGAGGAAGGCAUACAAAUGGUCAAAGACUCCAGCCACCCUAGUCAUAGACUGUUCUCUCUGCUACUGCAUGGCAAGCGGUACCGAUGCACCAAGUCUGGAACCAACAGGACCCUGAACAGCUUCUACCCCCCAAGCCAUAAGACUGAUAAAUAGUUAGGUAAAUAGUUAGUGUGGGUAGCUUUGGGUUAUCUGUAUUGACCCUUUUUGCACCAACUGUUUUGACUCAUCACAUAUGCUUCUGUUACCGUUUAUUAUCUGUUCUGUCGCCUAGUCACCCCGGACACCUGCACAUCAACUCGGUACUGGUACCCUGUGUAUACGGCCAAGUUAUCGUUACUCAUAGUGUUUUUAAUCCUUGUUUUAUUAUUUUUAUAUUUGUCUCUCUCUGCAUUGUUGGGAAGGGCCCGUAAGUAAGCAUUUCAUUCUUAGUCUACACCUCUAGUUUACGAAGCACGUGACAAAUACAAUUUUGAUUUGAACACUAGCUGGUUGUGUUCAUUAACAUAUCACCAAUUUUGUUCUAAAGAUAGAGUACCAUACAACACAGACAUGCAUGCAUAAUAUGCUACAAACUUUGGAAUUACCACACAACAUGCACCAGAAAGCUCAACCUCAACUUUGAGAUAGAAAGACAAACAGUGAAGACGGACGUAAACACAUACAAGGUAUCAGAGGUUUACCAUUGCCUUUGGCUCCCUGACCUUUGGGAGCUCCAGCUCCUGGACCAUAUCCUGAAGACCACAACAACUGUUACUCAACACUGGUUACUCAACACUGGUUACUCAACACUGGUUACUCAACAAUGGUUAUCUCUGUAGAUAUUAUCAAUGACCAUUGAGUUCUGUCACAAGUAAUGAAAGAUACAGCAAUAGAGAAAUAGAGAUAGAGACUCUGACAUUUAUUAAUGGUAUCAGAGGUUUACCACUAGGUUUAGCACCACUGGGUUUAGCACCACUGGGUUUAGCACCACUGGGUUUAGCAUCACUGGGUUUAGCACCACUGGGUAUAGCACCAUUAGGAACACCAGCAACUGGACCAUAUCCUAACACUGGUUAGUAACUACCACAUACCGUUUAAAGAAUGCAUGUCUGAACACUGCGUAAAACUGCAUCAAAUACCACAAAAGCAACAAUAAAACUAUUUCAAUAGGGAAGUUAGGCAUCCAGUCAAAAUGUACAGCAACAGUGUACUUAAAAAUCCCUAACAGAUCAUAGCAGGUUACCAGUUGAUAUCCACACACUAGAGUGUGAUAUUUGUCAGAAGGGCAAUAUCAUACAGAAAUGCCAGCAUCAUGCAGUACUGUAUGUAGCAGACAGACAGAGAAACAACAGACAGAGUAACAGACAGAGAAACAACAGACAAAGUAACAGCAAAGUAACAGCAGACAGAGAAAAACAGUCAGAGUAACAACAGACAGAGUAACAACAGACAGAGAAGCAACAGACAGAGAAACAACAGACAGAGUAACAACAGAGUAACAACCGACAGUAACAACAAACAGAGAAGCAACAGGCAGAGUAACAACAGACAGAGAAACAGACAGAGUGAUGACAGAGAAACAACAGACAGAGCGAUGACAGAGAAACAACAGACAGAGUGAUGACAGAGAAACAACAGACAGAGGUUCAACAUGGGGUUUAGGUUUAGCACCGUGACCAUUGGACACUCCACAUCCUGGACCACUUCCUAGAGACCAUAAUACUGGUUAUUCAACACAACCUAAAACAGGGUACUCAGCAGCUAUCUGAUUGUAAUAUAUUUACUGUAACGUCAUAUCUUCCUGCUGUUAGAGUUUAAACUUUUGACAGAGACAGACACACAGAGAUAGAGUAGCAGAUGUUUACCAUUGGGCUUAGCACCCUGUCCAUUGGGCACUCCAGCUCCUGCACCAUAUCCUGAAGACCACAACAUUGACUCAUUAGGUACAAAAAUAUAUAAAAACAGACCAAACACGUGACAUAAAAGCUAACAUAUUGACAAGUUGUUGAAUCUGUACGUUAGUCAUGGGCAUGCAGUCUUAGCGACACUUGUACUGCAACUAAUAUGAACCAUACAUAUACUUCAGUAACCCAAUAUGACCCAGCAUAUUGAACACCCCAGCACGCAACAAGCAGUGUUCACUAUUAAACUGUGACACUCACUCUAAACGGAAGCUAAACUGAGGAUGUAGCAGAGACUCUAUAUUUAGACUGUCAGAGUCGGGGGGGAUGAAUUCGGAUUAGCAUGUAAGUCAGAGUUUUGAAUGGACCAAGCCGUCCUCUGUGGCGCAACACUGAUACAUAGAACAGACACCAGGGCACAGACAGGAUCACACACACUGAGCUACAGACGGGACGACAGGCAAACACAUGGUUGCCUUUAGCACCCUGUUCAAAAGGUUACUCUGCUCCACCAUCACCAGUCCCUAAACAACCAGUAGAGCUACAGUAUAUACACAUUUUAUACAACCGGUGGGUCUAAUCCUGAAUGCUGAUUGGUUAAAAGUGCAUUCCAGCCGGUGUCUAUUCCACAAGUUUCCACCUGCUAAAUCUAUACACAUUUUACCACACACUCACAUACCUUCACUACACAUCAACAUGUUCAGCUAAGAAGUCAAGUAAAUGUUAAUUGAAGGUCACUUCAAGUUUUUUGUCACAACUGAAUGAAAUACUUUUCCAAUCUGGAUAUAUUAAAUCAAGAACUACUCAUUCUGAUAAAUCAAGGCUGUUAAUGUAAAUGAGAACUCAUUUGAUGCGUAAGUGAAGUGUACACGCUCAAAUCAACACAUAUGAAGAUUGUUAAAGACAUUGGACGACAAAGACGCUGGAGAGACAACAUAGAUAACAUGUUAAAAUAACACUUGAAAAAAACACCAUACCAAAUUCAUUAGCAAGCACAGACAGCUGAUAUGGACAUACUAAAGACAGGUUUCUAUGAACACCUGGAGUUAGUCACUGAUUGAGAUACAUUUUAAGAUUUAAAACAUUGUAAUUAGAUGAAGAGCAACAUUCACAAACACUUUUGGAAGGAAACCAUAGACAAACAACAGGAAGAUGAUAUGCAUCCCAGUUGACAACUAACAAUGGGAUGACUGAAAACAAACAACAGCAGGUGAAGAGGAGUCUCUGGCGAGCCCCUGUCCAGCUGGUAUCGUAGGUCUAUAGUGUUUGGCUCCCUGUCCAGCUGGUAUCGUAGGUCUAUAGUGUUUGUCUCCCUGUCCAUCUGGUAUCGUAGGUCUAUAGUGUUUGUCUCCCUGUCCAUCUGGUAUCAUAGGUCUAUAGUUUUUGUCUCCCUGUCCAUCUGGUAUCGUAGGUCUAUAGAGUUUGUCUCCCUGUCCAUCUGGUAUCGUAGGUCUGUAGUGUUUGUCUCCCUGUCCAUCUGGUAUCGUAGGUCUAUAGUGUUUGGCUCCCUGUCCAUCUGGUAUCGUAGGUCUAUAGUGUUUGGCUCCCUGCCCAUCUGGUAUCAUAGGUCUAUAGUUUUUGGCCCUCUGUCCAGCUGGUAUCGUAGGUCUAUAGUGUUUGUCUCCCUGUCCAGCUGGUAUUGUAGGUCUAUAGAGUUUGGCUCCCUGUCCAUCUGGUAUCGUAGGUCUAUAGUGUUUGGCUCCCUGUCCAUCUGGUAUCGUAGGUCUAUAGUGUUUGGCUCCCUGUCCAUCUGGUAUCAUAGAUCUAUAGUUUUUGGCUCCCUGUCCAUCUGGUAAUGUAGGUCUAUAGUGUUUGUCUCCCUGUCCAGCUGGUAUUGUAGGUCUAUAGAGUUUGGCUCCCUGUCCAUCUGGUAUCGUAGGUCUAUAGUGUUUGGCUCCCUGUCCAUCUGGUAUCGUAGGUCUAUAGUGUUUGGCUCCCUGUCCAUCUGGUAUCGUAGGUCUGUAGUGUUUGGCUCCCUGUCCAUCUGGUAUCGUAGGUCUAUAGUUUUUGGCUCCCUGUCCAUCUGGUAUCGUAGGUCUAUAGUUUUGGCUCCCUGUGCUACAGGACCAAGACUUUUGCCCUCUUUCCCAACAGGCACCUGAGGUUCUAGACUUUUAGCCGCCUGUGACUCUGGGACCACAGAACCAACACCUUCGGAACCCUGUGGCUGCUGAGCUACUGGACCUUGACCUUUACCCCUCUUCCGAUCUGCCACUGCAGCAGGUCCAUAGCGUUUGGCUCCCUGUGGUUCUGGUGCCGCAGGACCAAGACUUUUGGCCUCUUUCCUAAUGGGUAUCUGAGGUCCUAAGCUUUUAGCCUCCGGUGUAUGGGAUGCCACAGGACCAGAACUUUUGACCCCUUUGCCAUUUGGAGCUGCCGGUCCAAAACCUUUGGCCCCCUGUGGCUGCUGAGCUACAGGACCAGAACUCUUAGCUUCCUUUCCCAGUGGAGCUGCAGGCCCAUAGCUUUCGACUCCCUGUGCUUGAAGAACAACAGAACAAGGGCUUUUGGGCCCUUCACAUCUGGCAAUGCAGCAGGUCCUUGGCUAUCAUGAUUGUGGCAUAAUGUGUCUACAUGCAACAUGCACCUUUAUAGAAACUGGGACAAAGACACACAUAGACAGACAAACACACAGGGUAGCAGAUGUUUACCAUUGGGUUUAGCACCCUGUCCAUUGGGCACUCCAGCUCCUGCACCAUAUCCUGAAGACCACAAUAGUGAUUACUCAACACUGGCGACUAUAGGACGGACUCAUGCAGAUACGAUGCUCUGAUCCACAAACAUAACCAUACACGGACACACCCACUUACAUACUUCACCACUUACACAAUUCCAAUCACACCACAACAAAAUAUAUAUGGCUGCCCAUUUGAAAGAAUUUGGCAGCCGAACAAUAAAGACAACCAUUGAUGGUAAGUAGAUAGACACCUGUUAAUGCACUGAGCAAACAACAUGCAUUUACACCAUGUCUGACUGAAUCAACAAAAGGCAUAAAUACUGAUUACACAGAAGAGAUUGAAAACGGCAACACGAAGAGCAGACAUGAAGGCACAAACUGAAAAACGCAGGUAAAAACAAACCAACAUGAAUGCGGACACGGACGGACACGGACGGACACAGCAGGAUUGGAAAGUUUACCCGGUUUUGGUCCCUUAGAUCCCUGUCCAUUGGGAUACCCAGCUCCAGCACCUAAUGUUUGCAAAGGGGCACUGUCAACUGGAAUUAUCAAACUCCACAUGCAGGGUAUGAGGUACAGAGGCUUUGCAGCAAUCAACCACAUUGCUUGUACAGAUGUAGGAUCUUAAUUUCAGCCAGUUUGCUACAGCAGGAAAAUAAUCCUGCUGCGACAGAAAAUGUGAAUUAUUAUGUGAUUAGAAUUCAUCUUUAAGAGUAAAUUGACGCACCUGUGCAUCAAUCUAAGUAACAUUAUUAAAAAAUCCCCAACAAAACCAGUCAGUUUAAUGGACAUUUAUGUAGGGGUUGAUAUAUUUUUCAUUAGGGCAAAUUAAGUCUGAAAUUUCAAAGUGGAAAAUCUUUUAAAACUCAAAUUUUGCAAAUGAAGAUCCUACAUCUGUAAAGCCAGUUUACAGAUGCUUGGUGUCUAUGUAGGACCCGGCUGGCUAAUGUACACUGUACAGUGUACAGUAUGCAGAUGACAAUUUGGAAGAUGCGUGAUAUGGAAAUCCCCACUGAUUUAUUGAUUGGGAUUGACAGUUUGUUCAAUGAAUUAAGUGCUUGAGGUGUGAGCUGUAAAAAAUAUGAACCCUGGCUUGUAAAAUAGUAGACUAUAGUAUUGGCCUUUAGAUGGUUCAGGCCAGCAGGGAUUGGCUGCUUACCUGGUCGUGGAUAGCCUCUGGCUCCAGUUCCAGGCCCGUAACCU